rnacentral:rRNA from 1 species
UUGCUCUUCAACGAGGAAUGCCUAGUAGGCACGAGUCAUCAGCUCGUGCCGAUUACGUCCCUGCCCUUUGUACACACCGCCCGUCGCUACUACCGAUUGAAUGGCUCAGUGAGGCCUUGGGAUUGGCUUAGGAGGGUUGGCAACGANCCCCCCAGAGCCGAAAACUUGGUCAAACUCGGUCAUUUAGAGGAAGUAAAAGUCGUAACAAGGUUUCCGUAGGUGAACCUGCGGAAGGAUCAUUACCGAGUGAGGGCCCUCUGGGUCCAACCUCCCACCCGUGUUUAUUUUACCUUGUUGCUUCGGCGGGCCCGCCUUAACUGGCCGCCGGGGGGCUUACGCCCCCGGGCCCGCGCCCGCCGAAGACACCCUCGAACUCUGUCUGAAGAUUGUAGUCUGAGUGAAAAUAUAAAUUAUUUAAAACUUUCAACAACGGAUCUCUUGGUUCCGGCAUCGAUGAAGAACGCAGCGAAAUGCGAUACGUAAUGUGAAUUGCAAAUUCAGUGAAUCAUCGAGUCUUUGAACGCACAUUGCGCCCCCUGGUAUUCCGGGGGGCAUGCCUGUCCGAGCGUCAUUGCUGCCCUCAAGCACGGCUUGUGUGUUGGGCCGCCGUCCCGGGGGACUUUUCUGCCCCGCGGGACGGGCCCGAAAGGCAGCGGCGGCACCGUGUCCGGUCCUCGAGCGUAUGGGGCUCUGUCACCCGCUCUGGUAGGCCCGGCCGGCGCGCCAGCCCUUCUCAACCAUUUUUGUUCUUUCUCCAGGUUGACCUCGGAUCAGGUAGGGAUACCCGCUGAACUUAAGCAUAUCAAUAAGCGGAGGA